GCUUAACACAUGCAAGUCGAACGAGAACGGAUUAUAGCUUGCUAUAAUUGUCAGCUAAGUGGCGCACGGGUGAGUAAUAUAUAGAUAACCUGCCCUCUAAGAAAGGAAUAACAGUUGGAAACGACUGCUAAUGCCCUAUAUGCCUUUAAUACAUAAGUAUGCAAGGGAAACGCUUUAGUGCUAGAGGAUGGGUCUGUAUGGUAUCAGCUUGUUGGUGAGGUAAUGGCUUACCAAGACUAUGACACAUAACUGGUUUGAGAGGAUGAUCAGUCACACUGGAACUGAGACACGGUCCAGACUCCUACGGGAGGCAGCAGGUGGGGAAUAUUGCACAAUGGACGAAAGUCUGAUGCAGCAACGCCGCGUGGAGGAUGACACAUUUCGGUGCGUAAACUCCUUUUAUAUGAGAAGAUAAUGACGGUAUUAUAUGAAUAAGCACCGGCUAACUCCGUG
rnacentral:rRNA from 1 species